rnacentral:rRNA from 1 species
GACGAACGCUGGCGGCGUGCCUAAUACAUGCAAGUAGGACGCAGUUGCGAACGGGUGAGUAACGCGUAGGUAACUACCUAUUAGAGGGGGAUAACUAUUGGAAACGAUAGCUAAUACCGCCUACUGAGGGAUUGACCCGCGGUGCAUUAGCUAGUUGGUGAGUUGACGGCUCACCAAGGCAACGAUACAUAGCCGACCUGGGAGGGUGAUCGGCCACACUGGGACUGCGACACGGCCCAGACUCCUACGGGAGGCAGCAGUAGGGAAUCUUCGGCAAUGGGGGGAACCCUGACCGAGCAACGCCGCGUGAGUGAAGAAGGUUUUCGGAUCGUAAAGCUCUGUUGUUAAGGAAGCGGUACUUAACCAGAAAGGGACGGCUAACUACGUGCCAGCAGCCGCGGUAAUAC